rnacentral:rRNA from 1 species
GAUGAACGCUGGCGGCGUGCUUAACACAUGCAAGUCGAACGAGAAUCAACGGAUUGAGGAUUCGUCCAAAUGAAGUUGAGGAAAGUGGCGGACGGGUGAGUAACGCGUGAGGAACCUGCCUCGGAGUGGGGAAUAACAGUUGGAAACAGCUGCUAAUACCGCAUAAUGCAACGGAAUCGCAUGACUCUGUUGCCAAAGAUUUAUCGCUCUGAGAUGGCCUCGCGUCUGAUUAGCUAGUUGGCGGGGUAACGGCCCACCAAGGCGACGAUCGGUAGGGGUUCUGAGAGGAAGGUCCCCCACAUUGGAACUGAGACACGGUCCAA